CAAUAAUAGUGAAUAAUGUAGCAUCCAAAUUUUAUUAUGCAUUGCUUCUUAGCUAACAAAACUUAUGGAAGUUUUAUAAAGAUGGGAUCUUUUUUUGUAGGUGAUGUGGGCGGUGUUUGUUUUAGACCAAACCAUCCAUUGAAACCACACAGGCUUUGAAUGACACACCAUCUUGUUCUCUCUUACAAGCUUCACAAGAAGAUGGAAGUUUAUAGACCCCACAAGGCAUAUCCGGUUAAGCUUGCUCAGUUUCAUUCAGAGGAUUAUGUUAAAUUUUUGCAUCAGAUUACGCCGAGAUGCUCAGCACUUGUUUGCGGGGGGAUUGGCUAGAUGCGUGGAUUUUUUUGUAGUGAAAUCUAGUCAAGUAUUUUUUUUCCUUAUUUGUGUUGUUUAAGUAUAUGUUGUUUUUGUGUUGGGCGUGGAAUGAGCUGGGGUUCAUGGACGAUUAGCUAUGAAAGUGAAUUUAGUUUAGGUGAAGAGUGAGGUGUGAUCUUCUUCUUCUUCUUUUGUUGUUGUUGUUGAGAGAAUUGACUAGUCUAAUGUGCUUGACCUUGUGUAGUCUGGGCAAUGAUUCGACAUGAAUGAAGCAUCAGUGACUUGUUCGAA